GCACUGUGCCGCUUCUCUCUCUCGCUCUAAAUGAUGGUGGUGUGAGAGAGGCCCAAUGUGCCGAUGCAGAUGAAUAUGAUUAUACUUUCCAGAUUCUCCGAAGGAAGUUUCAGGUGAUUGGCGUACGAUUUUUCCUUCAGGAAUCUGGCUAAAUCUCUCUCUCUCUCUCUCUCUCUCUCUCUCUCUCUGAAUGACGAGGGUGAUCUCCAGCCAGUUCAUAGACAGCAGGCGGAGGUGGGGACUGGCGCGCCGCAGGGUGAGUUGACCUGGUUGGGGAGUCGUCAUGGGUGAUGGAAGACGAGGCGGCUUCCAGCCCGGCGGCGACGACUUGGCAGCACUGGGUGAUACUGCAAGGAGACAAGAGACCGGCGACCCAGUUGCCGGAGCCCAGAAACUUCCAGUGCGGAGAAGGGAGAAUGUGAGAAACGCCAGGAGGAGCACCAUCCAGACGGAGGGGAGGGAACGAGGAAGAGAGAGAGAGAGAAGAGAGAGAGAGAGAGAGAGAGAGAGAGAGAGAGAGUANNNNNNNNNNNNNNNNNNNNGAGGGAGGGAGGAGGAGAGAGAGAGAGAGAGAGAGAGAGAGAGAGAGAGAGAGAGAGAGAGAGAGAGUAUCCACGACCUCCCAUUUUUCGGCGGCUGAUGAAGCCCAUGAAACGGUGAUCAAGGCAUGCAUACUAAUGAAGUAACCUAUCUACAUGACAACGAGACAGGUCUUACAUUAUCAUUUGUAGAACCAUUUCCCAAAAUAUUAUGUAAAUGUAUAAAAUCCUCAAUCUAAAUGAGUUAAUUACACUUUAGUUCAUUUUUAUGAUCAAUAUACACUUUUAUUCACAAGAAAUUACUUCUUUUUGUGUUUUAAUCAACCGUCUUUUCUUCUAUAAUCUACGUUUUGUCAUCAUCAUCAUCGUCUCUCUCUCUCUCUCUCUCUCUCUCUCGUCUAUACAGGCGCACACACCCAAGCGGACACAUUGUAAAGAUCCCCACUGUCCUACAUGUAAUCUGCUGAGCAGGAUGAAGAAACUGAGUCGCUGACUUCUCCGUUACCUUCCUUCUGGAAGUUGACUCAGUCCUUACGGUGCUGUUCAAGUCAGAGGCCCACGAAAAAGGUUUUUCUUCCUUUCCUUCAACAUUAUCUGCGUAUAAUCUGUAUGUUUCACUAUUGGAUUGCUCUAACGCAUGCUCUCUCGCGUAACUUUAUAUUUCUAUCCCCAAAAUGAGCUGCAAUCAUCGGAGCAUCAUAUGGAUAAUCAGAUUAAUUUAUCAAGAUAUUAAAGAACAGCCCCUGCGAUCAUGCAUUAUCGCCUCAUAGUCAGGACGCAAUCGGAGAUUCCCGUGUUAUUGCGAAGUUCGGAGGGAGAAAGAACUCAGAAAGCGUUCCACAGCUACAGGAACUUCUUCUUGAAGAAGAUAUGAAGCUCUUUCUCUGGCGUCGACCAGGGUCAGCUCGAGUUCAGCGGAGGGGGGAGGCAGACUGAGGACCCGUCGAGAGAGAGAGAGUUCUGCAGUGAUUCCGUGUUACGCCACGCCCCAUGCAGAGUGCGGAGUUAUUCCAAGCAGAGCCCUGAUUACAUCGUCAACCAACGCUCAAAACUAAGGACCUCUCUCUCAAGAUUACUUCAGGGAGAA
rnacentral:lncRNA from 1 species